rnacentral:rRNA from 1 species
AUUGAACGCUGGCGGCAGGCCUAACACAUGCAAGUCGAACGGUAACAGGAAGCAGCUUGCUGCUUUGCUGACGAGUGGCGGACGGGUGAGUAAUGUCUGGGAAACUGCCCGAUGGAGGGGGAUAACUACUGGAAACGGUAGCUAAUACCGCAUAACGUCGCAAGACCAAAGAGGGGGACCUUAGGGCCUCUUGCCAUCGGAUGUGUCCAGAUGGGAUUAGCUAGUAGGUGGGGUAACGGCUCACCUAGGCGACGAUCCCUAGCUGGUCUGAGAGGAUGACCAGCCACACUGGAACUGAGACACGGUCCAGACUCCUACGGGAGGCAGCAGUGGGGAAUAUUGCACAAUGGGCGCAAGCCUGAUGCAGCCAUGCCGCGUGUAUGAAGAAGGCCUUCGGGUUGUAAAGUACUUUCAGCGGGGAGGAAGGGAGUAAAGUUAAUACCUUUGCUCAUUGACGUUACCCGCAGAAGAAGCACCGGCUAACUCCGUG